rnacentral:miRNA from 1 species
UAAGAAGAAGAAGAAGAAAU